rnacentral:rRNA from 1 species
UACGUAGGGUGCAAGCGUUGUCCGGAAUUAUUGGGCGUAAAGAGCUCGUAGGCGGUUUGUUGCGUCGGCUGUGAAAUCCCGAGGCUCAACCUCGGGUCUGCAGUCGAUACGGGCAAACUAGAGUGUUGCAGGGGAGACUGGAAUUCCUGGUGUAGCGGUGAAAUGCGCAGAUAUCAGGAGGAACACCGGUGGCGAAGGCGGGUCUCUGGGCAACAACUGACGCUGAGGAGCGAAAGCGUGGGGAGCGAACAGG